UGAGAACAUUAGUAAGCCCACGCAGAAGGGUCCCCAAACUGAAACUGAACUCUCUGAAUUCGUUUUGUGGGUCUUUGUUCCAAUUGCGAAUCCUGAAUUGGUCCAUUGGGUUAACCAUCCUUGUAACCUUGUCCCAGACUCAGAAGAGUUCUUCAAGUCCCCCGGUAAUCGCACCUGCUCAAGGUUAAAGAGAUUCAACUCUUUUAAUGAGUCUGUCUGCGCAAAAUCACCAACCUCCGACUGUUCAUAAUUACCUGCAGCGGUGAAGUGUGUUUUUACGGUGCCCGCUGUUUGUUUCCGCUACCAAAUGGGCGUUGGACCCGUUAGGACGAGCGAGCUUUAUUUACCGCCAUUACCGGAGUGCGGGGCGAGUCAAAAACGGCUUUCGCGGAGCAAACGGGAAAGAAAAGACGGCAGACCCCGAGGGAGCCGGAGCCUGACAGCUCCCGCACGUGGCGUGAAGGCCGAAACAAGUUGGGAAAGUGGAAACGCCGGGCGAGGUUUGAUUGACGCGGCGCCUCUUCAGAGCUGUUGGAAUCGGUUCUCCGCUCCCCCGAGGGGCGUCCCCUGUUAACAGGGGGCUUUUCACGGCGUUUCCCUGCGGUCUGCUGCUGCUAAUCUUCGAGAAUUAAACACAUGCCACUGCCAAUUUCUCCCCACAUCCAAAAUGUUCACCAAAGAGGAAAAUGUAAAGGCUUUUUUUUUUUUUAAGUGAAAGGAUUCGUUCUGUUUUCGGUUAGCUUUGGAAACCCUCCUUUAAGCGGCCCCAAGUAGGAGUUCCUCAAGCGUCCUUUCCCGAUUUUUUUUGUAAAUCGUGAUAAUCGUGGGAAGCAAGACGAUUCUGGAUCCUAACCGAAACUAGAUCACGAGGGAAGAUGGUAUCCCCUGCCCGGCAGCCUGGGGCGACUUCAAUUUCACGUCGUGUGCGACCCCUCCAUUGGCUCUCCCGGUCUGUGUGCGGCGAGAGGAAGAAAACCGCCCCCCCCCCCGGGGCUCGAGCUGGGGGUCGACAGAUCUUCCGCCCCGACGCCGCGCAGCUCGCGCUGGAACUGGGCUCGCGUGAGGGGAGGAAGAGGAGGGGGGGGACGGGGCAGAGGUCUCAGUUUAAGAAGCCACACACAAGAACCCCAGGGGUUCCCGGAUCCCCGGUUGAAAAUCCCUGUUCCUCGGGCACCGCACUGCCUCUAGAGGGCGCAGUACCGACAGCAGGCUGGCGUCUGGCAUUGUCACGCUGCAAGCCGUGCAGCGGGUAACCCCCCCCCUCUGCGCGUCGCUGCCGUGCCUCAGACGCUCUGAUGUGGUGUGUUGGGCGGGCUGCUGGGACCGAGGUUGUGUUUAAACAGGUGUGUGCUUCGGGCCAUAUUCCCACCAGGGCGAACGUCUGUUACCACGCUUUCGGUUCGAGCUGUUUCUGAAGCUGAAGAACAGACCGCCUUCGUGGGUUUUAUACGUCGGCGUCAGCACUUGCUGCUACGGACGUCAACAUUCUCUCUGGAAUAAAAGCGACCCUCUUCAUCUUUUUUUUUUAAUUUUAAAUUGAAUCAUCACUUAAAAUAGCGAAAUCCCAGAGUCUGAAUCUCGACCGCCUGGCGGGGAAGCCAAGUUACAGAUUCCCCAAACCCGUCGUGUAAAGACGUAUUUUCUCCACUGGAAAUUAAUUCCCUUUGGUUUCCAGUUGGGACCCUGACAACCACUGAGUGUGAAACAGUACUUUUGGUAAAUCUCGCCUAUACUCUUUAGGAUUGUAUAUGCUUAGAUAAAAAUCCCCUUUCAAUAUCCUGUGUACUGCACUGAAAAAAAUGAAUAGGAGAUUGUCCAUGACAACCCCCUAUACUAAGGAUCAUUCUGCUGCUCUUGUUUGAACUCUGAAGCCACAGUUUGCUGUUUGUGGUACUACUGUACUGAAAAUGUGAGUAUUAAUUGUGUGUUAAGGUAAACUCUACAGCUCUCAUGGGGACCUAGCACUCUGUUUGCGUGUGUAGUGCUUCGCCACAGUCUUGACGAGGAUGCAGAAGAAUCUACAUGAACACCCAGAUCCCUGUAGUUUGAAGUAGCUUUUCGCAGCUCAGAAAUACCCAUGUGAUACACAGUGUAUGUUUCUGCCAAACUGAUGAUUCUGUCUGUCUUCAUAUACUAUUUUUUAUACCAUCUGACUCACAAGUUUGUAAAAUAUCCCAGAAUCUAAAUCACUCUAAGUCAGUAAGAAUGUCAGCAGAUGGACACCUGCAGAACACCCCUGUCUAGAUCUAAGAUGGUAAAUGAUUUAGACAGGAGCUGAUACAGUUCUGUGUUUUCUGAGUAAUACGUCAAAUGUGUUAAUUAGCGGUAUGAAUUUCCAAGCCCUUUAUGCCCCACUUGGCAUCCAUGUGGGUCUUCUGGCUUUAUGGUGAGAUCUGGAAGAGAUUAUAUACAUUUAAGUUUGGACCACAUGGAAAAAAUCAAAUUAACAGCACUGUGUCUCUUCCUUGCCUCCACGCUUGUCUACUAUUAUUCUAGAAUUACGUCAAAGGCUCAGAAAACGGCCUCCUCAUUCUUACUUUUCAUGGAAAAAAUGGUCCUCUUUAAAAUCACAUCAUUUGAAUCCAACAUAAAUGAAAAGUUGGGCUGCUAGGCUUUGUUCAACCUGGUAAUUCUUAAUUAUCUCUUAUUCAUCUCGUAUGACACUCUUCUUUAUGCGUAUGCUGCACUUCAUCAAUUGUUUUUUACAUCCAUUACAUUUAGUGAGAUAAUUAAAAUCCAUUAAUUUGUGUCUGUCUCUAAAGAAUCUCGAAAGGCUCUGUGUGAUUCAAGUACCUUUACAAGCUGAUGGUUUUGAAACCAGUGGGUUAUAAGCAUAGUUUAACGAGCACCCCUGAGCUGGAAAAGUAAAAUGCAUGUGCUUCUUUUAACCCCCAAAAUGAACUAACAAACCACUUCUUUAUUAAACAUAUUGCAUUUUGUAUGGUAUUAAAAAUUAAUCAUUCAUUUUUUGCAGCUUUUACAGGCUUAUAGAUGGAGUUGCACGCUGUGGUUAUGGGGUGAACUUAUUUGAGGUUUAGUUGAUUGGACUUGCUGUGUUUUUGCUCUUGGCCCUGAGUGCCUUUCUUUGCAGGGCAGGCAGCCGGGGAAUAGAGCCAAACAAAACCCUCAUGUCCCGUGAACUGGCUGGUUCUGGUGUCGACAAGGCCUUAUCGCAGGUCAUUGAGCAAUUUAUCAGCCAAGCACAGAAUGGAAGCCUGAAACAACCACGUUCGGUUUAGAACUCUUUCCACUUAUCACACUUAUCAUCAUUAUGUGUUUUUUUGUUUAAGCCUUUCCCACCCUGACAAGCAGCUCAGGCUCAUAUACAGUACAAAGGGCAACACUUUCUCUACUGGAGCACAAGACCAUUUUUCAAAUAACAGCUGUUUGAAUUCAUAUGUAAUCCGCACACAAGUCUAUAUGUGACAGCUAUGAAUGAAACCUAGUGGCCUUUCUACAAAGGAUUAGCACUGUGCAAAUACCUUUCUAAAAAUAAUGAAUGUAGGAAGAGGAGAAACUCAGGAGGCCCAGUUUUAGUACAAAAGUACUGCCUUUGAAUUUAUUGCUCAUUAAGAAUAAAAGGCAUUAUGUUUGUGCCAAUCCCAGUAUAAAAUACAUCAUCUUAUCUUGGAAUUAAUGUUACUUUUCACAACCAAGCUGGAGUGUUUAAAUAAAUAUUUAACGAGACAAUACGUAUGUUUAGGAGCGAUCCGGAUGAAAACCAGACACGACUUUACAUUGAAGUCUCAUGGCUGAAGGUGACUCUUUGGAGUUCACUGGGGGAGGAAAAAAGGACAGAAAUAAUUCUUGGAUCAUCAAGUCAAACAGGCAAGAAUGGCCAAAUGGCUUCCUCUUUUUUGCAACUUUUCUUAUGUUCUCUUACAUCUGACUUUUGCAUAAAACACACAAAGACAUCAUAGUUGUUUUAGAUGUAUAUUUGUGCAGCUUGCCAAGGAAAGAGAAAAAAAGACGCCUGCUCAGUUCCCAUGAAGAAUACAGGCCCAUAAUGAUCUAGUGUUAUAUGAGCUAUCACGGCGCUUCACAGUUUUGCAUAAAGAAAGAUGAAUUCUGUGGGAAGUUGUGAUGUAUUGGAGUACUCUGCUGCUGCACAUCCUUCUUUCCAUUACAGAGUCAUUAGGGUACAGAAGGAAUACUGUCAAAUCAACCCAUGUAUUUCGGAAAAAGACCCACAUCAUUUGAUUAAUGGGUCUUUCCAGUUCCCUUAUCUAAUACCCAAGGAGACUCUGUACUGGAAGGGAAAAAGAGCUAGGAAAUGAAAGGAAACUAACUUUUGUGUUUUGAAGGAUGAAUAGAUCAAGAAUAAAGAGAAGAGCCACGGUUGUUCUAUAAAUAAAAGUGCCGAGGACAUUUUAAGUUUUUUGUUUCUUUUU